rnacentral:rRNA from 1 species
AGAGUUUGAUCMUGGCUCAGAAUGAACGCUGGCGGCGUGCUUAACACAUGCAAGUCGAACGAGAAAGCUUUAGCUUGCUAGAGUGAGUAAAGUGGCGCACGGGUGAGUAACGCGUGGGUAAUCUACCCUUGAAUUUGGGAUAACACUUCGAAAGGGGUGCUAAUACCGGAUAACAUUUUUUUUGUUGCGGCAAAAGAGAUCAAAGACAGCCUCUACAUGUAAGCUGUUGUUUGAGGAUGAGCCCGCGUACCAUUAGCUUGUUGGUGGGGUAAAGGCCUACCAAGGCGACGAUGGUUAGCUGGUCUGAGAGGAUGAUCAGCCACACUGGAACUGGAACACGGUCCAGACUCCUACGGGAGGCAGCAGUGAGGAAUUUUGCGCAAUGGGGGAAACCCUGACGCAGCAACGCCGCGUGAGUGAUGAAGGAUUUCGGUUCGUAAAGCUCUGUCAAGUGGGAAGAAGUUAUCAUAUAUUAAUAGUAUAUGGUAUUGACGGUACCACUGAAGGAAGCACCGGCUAACUCCGUGCCAGCAGCCGCGGUAAUA